rnacentral:rRNA from 1 species
AUUGAACGCUGGCGGCAUGCCUUACACAUGCAAGUCGAACGGUAACAGGUCUUCGGAUGCUGACGAGUGGCGAACGGGUGAGUAAUACAUCGGAACGUGCCUAGUAGUGGGGGAUAACUACUGGAAAGAGUGGCUAAUACCGCAUGAGAUCUACGGAUGAAAGCAGGGGAUCGCCAGACCUUGUGCUACUAGAGCGGCCGAUGGCAGAUUAGGUAGUUGGUGGGAUAAAAGCUUACCAAGCCGACGAUCUGUAGCUGGUCUGAGAGGACGAUCAGCCACACUGGGACUGAGACACGGCCCAGACUCCUACGGGAGGCAGCAGUGGGGAAUUUUGGACAAUGGGCGCAAGCCUGAUCCAGCAAUGCCGCGUGCAGGAUGAAGGCCUUCGGGUUGUAAACUGCUUUUGUACGGAACGAAAAGCCCUGGGUUAAUACCCUGGGGUCAUGACGGUACCGUAAGAAUAAGCACCGGCUAACUACGUGCCAGCAGCCGCCGUAAUAC